GUUCGUGGAUGAUGAUGAUGAUGAUGAUGAAAAAAAUGCAGCAUCAACGGCAGCAGCAAGCGGACCACGCGAACGAGGCAAACUAUGCAAGAGGCACCAGACUUCCUCUUUCUGGUGAAGGACCAACUUCUCAGCCGAAUAGCUCCAAGCAAACUGUCCUGUCUUGGCAAGCUGCAAUCGAUGCUGCUAGACAGGCCAAGGCUGCCCAAACUAUGAGCACCUCUGCACCCCCACCUGUAGGAUCUCUCUCCCAAAGAAAACGUCAGCAAUACGCCAAGAGCAAAAAACAGGGUAACUCGUCCAACAGCCGACCUGCCCGCGCCCUUUUCUGUUUAUCACUCAAUAACCCCAUCCGAAGAGCCUGCAUUAGUAUAGUGGAAUGGAAACCAUUUGACAUAUUUAUAUUAUUGGCUAUUUUUGCCAAUUGUGUGGCCUUAGCUAUUUACAUCCCAUUCCCUGAAGAUGAUUCUAAUUCAACAAAUCAUAACUUGGAAAAAGUAGAAUAUGCCUUCCUGAUUAUUUUUACAGUCGAGACAUUUUUGAAGAUUAUAGCGUAUGGAUUAUUGCUACAUCCUAAUGCUUAUGUUAGGAAUGGAUGGAAUUUACUGGAUUUUGUUAUAGUAAUAGUAGGGUAAGUCUCUUUUACUUUGGGGAAAUGUUGAUUUGGAAA
rnacentral:sRNA from 1 species